UACGUAGGGCGCAAGCGUUGUCCGGAAUUAUUGGGCGUAAAGAGCUCGUAGGCGGUCUGUCACGCGGCUGUGAAAACCCGGGGCUCAACCCCGGGCCUGCAGUCGAUACGGGCAGACUGGAGUCCGGCAGGGGAGACUGGAAUUCCCGGUGUAGCGGUGAAAUGCGCAGAUAUCGGGAGGAACACCGGUGGCGAAGGCGGGUCUCUGGGCCGGUACUGACGCUGAGGAGCGAAAGCG
rnacentral:rRNA from 1 species